rnacentral:lncRNA from 1 species
UGUCAGCCCCUCCCUAGCUUCUGCGGCUUCACACCUCCAUUCCGCGCCGGGCAGAGUCUGGCGGCUCCUGGAGCACGGAAGGCCCACAAGCGUACCCGUGGGGCCGCGGCCAAGGCUGGACUUUGAGCCCAGGACCCCAGGACCGCCCUUAGAAGGCUGCGCCGGCCCGCGAGAGGUCUGGGAUCUGGACAGCGCGGGGGCUGGCUCACAGGGACUGGUGAAGGAAACUGCCGGGACCCCUGCCACAGCCAUGGCUCCCCGCAAAGACGACCUCGAGCAGGCACUGCGGGCAGUUUGUACUAGCGCCUAGAACCCUGACACCGGGAAUUAGUCUCUUGGAAGAGCUAGCGAUUGGAGGCUCAGGAGUUAGGCUGUUUCCUUGUUAACCAACAAAAUCAGGUGAAACCAACGAAGUCAGGAAGCCUAAAGACAUAUAUGUACAGAUAUCUAACCCUUUACGCUAAUUAUUUAGAUUUUUAAUAAAUCUAUCUUAAUGUUUAGGUAUGAAGACGGGA